rnacentral:rRNA from 1 species
UACGUAGGGUGCGAGCGUUAUCCGGAAUCAUUGGGCGUAAAGAGCUCGUAGGCGGUUCAGCAAGUCGGCUGUGAAAGUCCGAGGCUCAACCUCGGAAUUGCAGUCGAUACUGCUGUGACUCGAGUCCGGUAGAGGAGAAUGGAAUUCUCGGUGUAGCGGUGAAAUGCGCAGAUAUCGAGAGGAACACCAGUAGCGAAGGCGGUUCUCUGGGCCGGCACUGACGCUGAGGAGCGAAAGCGUGGGGAGCAAACAGGAUUAGAUACCCCAGUAGUCC